rnacentral:rRNA from 2 species
UGAACUGACGAGGAGCUUGCUCCUCUGACGUUAGCGGCGGACGGGUGAGUAACACGUGGAUAACCUACCUAUAAGACUGGGAUAACUUCGGGAAACCGGAGCUAAUACCGGAUAAUAUAUUGAACCGCAUGGUUCAAUAGUGAAAGACGGUUUUGCUGUCACUUAUAGAUGGAUCCUGCGCCGCAUUAGCUAGUUGGUAAGGUAACGGCUUACCAAGGCAACGAUGCGUAGCCGACCUGAGAGGGUGAUCGGCCACACUGGAACUGAGACACGGUCCAGACUCCUACGGGAGGCAGCAGUAGGGAAUCUUCCGCAAUGGGCGAAAGCCUGACGGAGCAACGCCGCGUGAGUGAUGAAGGUCUUCGGAUCGUAAAACUCUGUUAUUAGGGAAGAACAAAUGUGUAAGUAACUAUGCACGUCUUGACGGUACCUAAUCAGAAAGCCACGGCUAACUACGUGCCAGCAGCCGCGGUAAUACGUAGGUGGCAAGCGUUAUCCGGAAUUAUUGGGCGUAAAGCGCGCGUAGGCGGUUUUUUAAGUCUGAUGUGAAAGCCCACGGC